AUGGCGUCGCCGAAGAAGGCGAGGAAGCCGCGGGCGAGGCGGCCGCUGCUGCUCCGUCGGGCCAUGCUGCACGCCUCCCUCUGCUUCCUCGUCGGCCUCCUCGCCGGCCUCGCCCCGGCCGCCCGCUGGACCGCCGCCGCCUCCGCCCACGUCUCCCGCGCACUCCACGCCGUCGACGGCGCCUUCGACCGCGCCGUGCUCCUGCUCCGGCAGCAGCAGCGGCAGCUGCGGGACGGGCGCGUCCACGUCGCCGUCCUCCCCUCGCCGGCGCCGGGGCCGCCGGCGCUGGAGCCGCUGCGGCAGCCCCAGCUGCUGCUGGUGGUGACGGCCACCGAGCGGUCCGACCCGGAGCGGCGCGCCGCGGGGCUGACGCGCGCCGCGCACGCGCUCAGGCUCGUGCCCCCGCCGGUGCUGUGGCUCGUGGUGGAGCCGGCGGCGGACGCGCUGCCCACGGCGCGCCUGCUGCGCGGCGCCGGGGUGGCGUACCGGCACCUGGCCUACCCGGAGAACUUCACGGCCGACGGCGUCGGCAUGGGGAAGGAGCGGCACCACCAGCGGAACCUGGCGCUGGAGCACGUGGAGGAGCACCGGCUCGCCGGUGUCGUGCUCUUCGCCGGCCUCGGCGACGUCUACGACCUCCGCUUCUUCGACCAGCUCAGGCAGAUCAGGACGCUCGGCGCGUGGCCGGUGGCGACGGUGUCGGAGCGCGAGCGGAGGGCGACGGUGGACGGGCCGGUGUGCGGCGGCUCGCCGUGGGCGGUCACCGGCUGGUUCUCCACGGCUGGGGCGCCGACGGUGAGGGCGAGGCCGCCGGCCGGCACGCUGGACGUGGCGCGCUUCGCGUUCGGCAGCGCCCUGCUCUGGCACCCGAGCCGGUGGGACAGCUUCCCCGUCUCCGAGCCCGACGCCUCACAGGAUUCCGUAAAGUUUGUGCAGCGGUUGGCUGCGGAGGAUUACAACAAGUCGAGGGGGAUGCCCAACCGGGAUUGCUCGGAGAUCAUGGUGUGGCGCGGAGAUCAGUUCGUCGCAACCUAG
rnacentral:rRNA from 1 species